UACGGGAUUCAAAGAGUUUUUCCUCUUGAGGCGGGCGAGCCCGACGGCAUCCACAAGAGUGAAGGGUUAAAGUGCUUGUACCUCCCGGCAAAUAUUCGGGUCGAGACCGGAGACGAAACAACUCAGAAGAAAAGAGGGCAACAAUCCGACAAUCGUGUUGGCAAGGGCUUCAAAUUGAUUAAGGUAAUCUUUCACGAAACCCGUAUGUGUGAGUUUGCACAAAAGACCAGUAGGGUCCUUAUAUGGUGAGUGGACAAAUCGGGUUUCAAUAGCUUGUAGAAAGCUAGGCCAGGUGGUGAGUUCAUGAUUUCACAUAAUCCACUGGAACCAUGCUAAGGUCGGCCCCUCCAUAUAAAAAGAAGCUAUGGUCAGUCUGUUAGAUUCCGCGGUUGCAUGGUAUUCAAAGAAUUGAGUGAUUUUGAAUACCCAGCCCGAGGGGACUGAACCAUCAAAUCUGGGAACAUCGAGUUUCAAUAUAUGGGGAUUAACAGGGUGUGUGUUUGGUAUAGGUAUGGCGGAGGAGGAAGAAGGUGUAGGUGAAUGAUGGACAGUGGUUUCUAGUGCGGCUACUCGUUGCAACAAGUCAUCGAGCUUUUCAGUGACAGGGAGGUGGUUUGAAGCCAGUUUGGCCAUAAACUCCUCUAAUUGCUCCAUGUUAGAGUUAGAGCAGGUUGAUUUUGCCAUGAAAAUCAAUGAAAGCACCAAGUUGUUGUAGACUACAAAAAGAGUCUAGGAUUCGAGGCCUAGAACCUCCGGAAUAAGGUAAGGAAAAGGAAACUGUUUUAUUGUUAUCCAUUAGAAUUACAUAUCCUUCACAUAUAUAGAUGUUCUAGUGCAAAUUCUAGAUACAAAUUCUAACAGAUUUUGGCAUUGUAUGCCUUGGAGGAAUUUGAAUAUUGCGCUACCAUGGAGACAAGCCGUAACGGCACAACGGCAUAGAGGAUUCGUGGAUUCUACUUCUAGAAUAUCAUUGUCAGCUCAGCCUCAUUUUGUUGCAUAAUCCUUAAGUAUUAUAUUGCAAGGUUUGGGGACAUUAGACCCUCUUGAGAUGAUAAUGGAUGCUGAGCUUGUUUCCUGGAAGAGAUAGAUGGCUUCUUACUGAAGAAACAUCUUCCUGCAAAGUGUAAACUUUUCUUGGCAUAGAACCACAGUUUAGGUGAUUGAGCUCUUUUGACAAACCGAAGCACCAAGUAAAGAACCAAUCUGUGAACUAAUAAUAAGCAAAGGAUCAAAUUCAACCCCCAGCAUGUCAUUCUUGUAUUGUCCCUGUAGUUGAAAACAACAUGACAAGUUAACAUGUUGUACCUGCACUGCCCAAGCAGCAAAACUGAGGUAGGACAUGGGAUAGCGCCAGAAGAACUUUGGAAUGUCAGAAGCUGAGAAAAAUGGUUUGCUUACAAUUACACCAGUUCCUGUUCCUAUGCCCAUCAGCACAUUGGGGACCACUGAGGCAACAAU